rnacentral:rRNA from 1 species
GUAAUAAUCCUGUAGUCGAAAAUGUUGUCUCUCUUGAGUGGAUCCUGAGUACGACGGAGCACGUGAAAUUCCGUCGGAAUCUGGGAGGACCAUCUCCUAAGGCUAAAUACUCUCUAGUGACCGAUAGUGAACCAGUACCGUGAGGGAAAGGUGAAAAGCACCCCGGAAGGGGAGUGAAAUAGAACCUGAAACCGUGUGCUUACAAGUAGUCAGAGCCCGUUAAUGGGUGAUGGCGUGCCUUUUGUAGAAUGAACCGGCGAGUUACGAUUUGAUGCAAGGUUAAGCAGUAAAUGUGGAGCCGUAGCGAAAGCGAGUCUGAAUAGGGCGUUUAGUAUUUGGUCGUAGACCCGAAACCAGGUGAUCUACCCUUGGUCAGGUUGAAGUUCAGGUAACACUGAAUGGAGGACCGAACCGACUUACGUUGAAAAGUGAGCGGAUGAACUGAGGGUAGCGGAGAAAUUCCAAUCGAACCUGGAGAUAGCUGGUUCUCUCCGAAAUAGCUUUAGGGCUAGCCUCAAGUGAUGAUUAUUGGAGGUAGAGCACUGUUUGGACGAGGGGCCCCUCUCGGGUUACCGAAUUCAGACAAACUCCGAAUGCCAAUUAAUUUAACUUGGGAGUCAGAACAUGGGUGAUAAGGUCCGUGUUCGAAAGGGAAACAGCCCAGACCACCAGCUAAGGUCCCAAAAUAUAUGUUAAGUGGAAAAGGAUGUGGCGUUGCCCAGACAACUAGGAUGUUGGCUUAGAAGCAGCCAUCAUUUAAAGAGUGCGUAAUAGCUCACUAGUCGAGUGACACUGCGCCGAAAAUGUACCGGGGCUAAACAUAUUACCGAAGCUGUGGAUUGUCCUUUGGACAAUGGUAGGAGAGCGUUCUAAGGGCGUUGAAGCAUGAUCGUAAGGACAUGUGGAGCGCUUAGAAGUGAGAAUGCCGGUGUGAGUAGCGAAAGACGGGUGAGAAUCCCGUCCACCGAUUGACUAAGGUUUCCAGAGGAAGGCUCGUCCGCUCUGGGUUAGUCGGGUCCUAAGCUGAGGCCGACAGGCGUAGGCGAUGGAUAACAGGUUGAUAUUCCUGUACCACCUAUAAUCGUUUUAAUCGAUGGGGGGACGCAGUAGGAUAGGCGAAGCGUGCGAUUGGAUUGCACGUCUAAGCAGUAAGGCUGAGUAUUAGGCAAAUCCGGUACUCGUUAAGGC